UCAAGUGAAUAAGUGCAUCAGGCGGAUGCCUUGGCGAUGAUAGGCGACGAAGGACGUGUAAGCCUGCGAAAAGCGCGGGGGAGCUGGCAAUAAAGCUAUGAUUCCGCGAUGUCCGAAUGGGGAAACCCACUGCAUUCUGUGCAGUAUCCUAAGUUGAAUACAUAGGCUUAGAGAAGCGAACCCGGAGAACUGAACCAUCUAAGUACCCGGAGGAAAAGAAAUCAACCGAGAUUCCGCAAGUAGUGGCGAGCGAACGCGGAGGAGCCUGUACGUAAUAACUGUCGAGAUAGAAGAACAAGCUGGGAAGCUUGACCAUAGCGGGUGACAGUCCCGUAUUCGAAAUCUCAACAGCGGUACUAAGCGUACGAAAAGUAGGGCGGGACACGUGAAAUCCUGUCUGAAUAUGGGGGGACCAUCCUCCAAGGCUAAAUACUCAUCAUCGACCGAUAGUGAACCAGUACCGUGAGGGAAAGGCGAAAAGAACCCCGGGAGGGGAGUGAAACAGAACCUGAAACCUGAUGCAUACAAACAGUGGGAGCACCCUAGUGGUGUGACUGCGUACCUUUUGUAUAAUGGGUCAACGACUUACAUUCAGUAGCGAGCUUAACCGGAUAGGGGAGGCGUAGGGAAACCGAGUCUUAAUAGGGCGAUGAGUUGCUGGGUGUAGACCCGAAACCGAGUGAUCUAUCCAUGGCCAGGUUGAAGGUGCCGUAACAGGUACUGGAGGACCGAACCCACGCAUGUUGCAAAAUGCGGGGAUGAGCUGUGGGUAGGGGUGAAAGGCUAAACAAACUCGGAGAUAGCUGGUUCUCCCCGAAAACUAUUUAGGUAGUGCCUCGAGCAAGACACUGAUGGGGGUAAAGCACUGUUAUGGCUAGGGGGUUAUUGCAACUUACCAACCCAUGGCAAACUCAGAAUACCAUCAAGUGGUUCCUCGGGAGACAGACAGCGGGUGCUAACGUCCGUUGUCAAGAGGGAAACAACCCAGACCGCCGGCUAAGGUCCCAAAUGAUAGAUUAAGUGGUAAACGAAGUGGGAAGGCACAGACAGCCAGGAUGUUGGCUUAGAAGCAGCCAUCAUUUAAAGAAAGCGUAAUAGCUCACUGGUCGAGUCGUCCUGCGCGGAAGAUGUAACGGGGCUCAAAUCUAUAACCGAAGCUGCGGAUGCCGGUUUACCGGCAUGGUAGGGGAGCGUUCUGUAGGCUGAUGAAGGUGCAUUGUAAAGUGUGCUGGAGGUAUCAGAAGUGCGAAUGUUGACAUGAGUAGCGAUAAAGCGGGUGAAAAGCCCGCUCGCCGAAAGCCCAAGGUUUCCUACGCAACGUUCAUCGGCGUAGGGUAAGUCGGCCCCUAAGGCGAGGCAGAAAUGCGUAGUCGAUGGGAAACAGGUUAAUAUUCCUGUACUUGAUUCAAAUGCGAUGUGGGGACGGAGAAGGUUAGGUUGGCAAGCUGUUGGAAUAGCUUGUUUAAGCCGGUAGGUGGAAGACUUAGGCAAAUCCGGGUUUUCUUAACACCGAGAAGUGAUGACGAGUGUCUACGGACACGAAGCAACCGAUACCACGCUUCCAGGAAAAGCCACUAAGCUUCAGUUUGAAUCGAACCGUACCGCAAACCGACACAGGUGGGCAGGAUGAGAAUUCUAAGGCGCUUGAGAGAACUCGGGAGAAGGAACUCGGCAAAUUGAUACCGUAACUUCGGGAGAAGGUAUGCCCUCUAAGGUUAAGGACUUGCUCCGUAAGCCCCGGAGGGUCGCAGAGAAUAGGUGGCUGCGACUGUUUAUUAAAAACACAGCACUCUGCCAACACGAAAGUGGACGUAUAGGGUGUGACGCCUGCCCGGUGCCGGAAGGUUAAUUGAAGAUGUGCAAGCAUCGGAUCGAAGCCCCGGUAAACGGCGGCCGUAACUAUAACGGUCCUAAGGUAGCGAAAUUCCUUGUCGGGUAAGUUCCGACCCGCACGAAUGGCGUAACGAUGGCCACACUGUCUCCUCCCGAGACUCAGCGAAGUUGAAGUGGUUGUGAAGAUGCAAUCUACCCGCUGCUAGACGGAAAGACCCCGUGAACCUUUACUGUAGCUUUGCAUUGGACUUUGAAGUCACUUGUGUAGGAUAGGUGGGAGGCUUGGAAGCAGAGACGCCAGUCUCUGUGGAGUCGUCCUUGAAAUACCACCCUGGUGUCUUUGAGGUUCUAACCCAGACCCGUCAUCCGGGUCGGGGACCGUGCAUGGUAGGCAGUUUGACUGGGGCGGUCUCCUCCCAAAGCGUAACGGAGGAGUUCGAAGGUUACCUAGGUCCGGUCGGAAAUCGGACUGAUAGUGCAAUGGCAAAAGGUAGCUUAACUGCGAGACCGACAAGUCGGGCAGGUGCGAAAGCAGGACAUAGUGAUCCGGUGGUUCUGUAUGGAAGGGCCAUCGCUCAACGGAUAAAAGGUACUCCGGGGAUAACAGGCUGAUUCCGCCCAAGAGUUCAUAUCGACGGCGGAGUUUGGCACCUCGAUGUCGGCUCAUCACAUCCUGGGGCUGUAGUCGGUCCCAAGGGUAUGGCUGUUCGCCAUUUAAAGUGGUACGUGAGCUGGGUUUAAAACGUCGUGAGACAGUUUGGUCUCUAUCUGCAGUGGGCGUUGGAAGUUUGACGGGGGCUGCUCCUAGUACGAGAGGACCGGAGUGGACGAACCUCUGGUGUACCGGUUGUAACGCCAGUUGCAUAGCCGGGUAGCUAAGUUCGGAAGAGAUAAGCGCUGAAAGCAUCUAAGCGCGAAACUCGCCUGAAGAUGAGACUUCCCUUGCGGUUUAACCGCACUAAAGGGUCGUUCGAGACCAGGACGUUGAUAGGUGGGGUGUGGAAGCGCGGUAACGCGUGAAGCUAACCCAUACUAAUUGCCCGUGAGGCUUGACUCU
rnacentral:rRNA from 1 species